UACGUAGGGGGCAAGCGUUGUCCGGAAUCAUUGGGCGUAAAGCGCGUGUAGGCGGCCCGAUAAGUCCGCUGUGAAAGUCCAGGGCUCAACCCUGGAAUGCCGGUGGAUACUGUCGGGCUCGAGUCCGGAAGAGGCGAGUGGAAUUCCUGGUGUAGCGGUGAAAUGCGCAGAUAUCAGGAGGAACACCAAUGGCGAAGGCAGCUCGCUGGGACGGUACAGACGCUGAGACGCGAAAGCGUGGGGAGCAAACAGG
rnacentral:rRNA from 1 species